rnacentral:rRNA from 1 species
UACGUAGGUGGCAAGCGUUGUCCGGAUUUACUGGGCGUAAAGGGCGCGUAGGCGGUCAGCACAAGUCAGUUGUGAAAUCUCCGGGCUUAACUCGGAAAGGUCAACUGAUACUGUGCGACUAGAGUGCAGAAGGGGCAGCUGGAAUUCUCGGUGUAGCGGUGAAAUGCGUAGAUAUCGAGAGGAACACCUGCGGCGAAGGCGGGUUGCUGGGCUGACACUGACGCUGAUGCGCGAAAGCCAGGGGAGCGAACGGG